rnacentral:lncRNA from 1 species
AUACAGUAGAUGUGUUGAUAAUAUUUCUUAGGUCUAUUCUACUAUACCAGUUCCUCCUAUUCAGUAUUACAUUAUUAAAGUAUACAAUACAUCAAACAGUAUUAUAUACACUAAUAAUACUAAUGAUACUAAUAUUACUAUCACUGGACUACCUCUUACUGAUGCUAACUACACUGUUACUAUCAUUCCUGUUAAUGUUAUUGGAUAUGGACCAUCAGCUACUGUUAAUGUACGUAAUAAUUCAUUAGACAGUUCUUCAUCAGUAAGUUCUACUGCUCCAUCAUCAGUUACAUUAUCUUAUACUCCAUUACUCAGUACAUAUACAUCACAUACAGUAUCUUUCA